rnacentral:tRNA from 1 species
GGGGAUAUAGCUCAGUGGUGGAGCCCAUGCUUGGCACGUACGAGGUCCUGGGUUCAAUCCCCAGUGCCUCUG